rnacentral:lncRNA from 1 species
UUUGUUCUUCAAUUUGAAUCUUUUCUUCAAAACUUCGGCGAUCAACUUUUCAAGACUCCAUUCAACAUUACGAAAUUCGCCAACCUAUAAAAUCCUUAACAAUCUCCCCCUUUGGCGAUUUCGUGACAAAAUAUACUAUAAAUUCGUACACAACGCAGAAACAAUAAAACGAAGAUCAUUGCAAUCACCAAACGAUAAUCUGCUGCAUGAUCGAUCCAAUAAACGAAAAUUACAAUUUUCAAAAUCUUAAUACAAGCUCUAUGACUUAGACAUGGAGUCUUGAAGUCUUGAAUUAUUCCUGCAAAAACAUUCUCAAAAACAUAAUCAAGAUUCAUAAUCAAGAUUCA